AGCCGUGUGAUGAGCACAGAGCUAACGAUUCUUUCGCCUUUUACUAAAGAAUACCGUGUGCUCAUCGCUAUAAGCGGCAUGCGCCAAUUUAUCUAUAAUGUUUAAGUUAACAAGC
rfam:Gossypium arboreum cultivar AKA8401 contig_45734_1, whole genome shotgun sequence.